rnacentral:ncRNA from 2 species
CGUUACAUUCAGGAUAUAAGUUGCAAUAAGCAUUGAUAGAGAAAACGGUGUCAAUCCGUUGCGGUCCCGCCACUGUGACAGGGAGCCGAGAACAUGAGCCACUGGAAGAGAAAAAUUCCGGGAAGGAGUUUGAGGUGAUGAACUGAAGUCAGGAGAACUGCUUAUAUCUUUGAGAUGUU